rnacentral:piRNA from 1 species
UGAAGGUGUCCAACUUGCUCAUGACAGAUAA